rnacentral:lncRNA from 1 species
GUAGGGGACAAUAUAAGUAUGUAGGUAACAACAGAAGUAGGUAGGGAACAACAGAAGUAUGUAGGGAACAACAGAAGUAUGUAGGGGACAACAGAAGUCUGUAGGGAACAACAGAAGUAGACAGGGAACAAUAGAAGUAUGUAGGUAACAACAGAAGUAGGUAUGGAACAAUAGAAGUAUGUAGGGAACAACAGAAGUAUGUAGGGGACAACAGAAGUAUGUAGGAAACAACAGAAGCAGGUAGGAAACAACAGAAGUAUGUAGGGAACAACAGAAGUAGGUAGGGGACAACAGAAGUAUGUAGGGAACAACAGAAGUAUGUAGGGAACAACAGAAGUAUGUAGGGAACAACAGAAGUAUGUAGGGAACAACAGAAGUAUGUAGGGAAACAACAGAAGUAUGUAGGGAACAACAGAAGUAUGUAGGGAACAACAGAAGUAGGUAGGAAACAACAGAAGCAGGUAGGGAACAACAGAAGUAUGUAGGGAACAACAGAAGUAUGUAGGGAACAACAGAAGUAUGUAGGGAACAACAGAAGUAUGUAGGGAACAACAGAAGCAGGUAGGGAACAACAGAAGUAUGUAGGAAACAACAGAAGCAGGUAGGGAACAACAGAAGCAGGUAGGGAACAACAGAAGUAUGUAGGGAACAACAGAAGUAGGUAGGGAACAAC